GCCGGAAGUUCGUGGCGCAGCUGUUUCGUCGUCUUCAGGCGCUGCCGCUGAUUUUUCGGAUUUUCAGUCUCUAAACUGGACCUGGCCUCCUGGCUGGACUAAGAGAAUAUGCUGAGGGUCCAAGAUCUGCAGGACAUUGAGAGCACAGGAGCCUAGAGAGGGCCCUGCUUUGGGUGAAACAGAACAAAUCCCAUCGCUCCUCAGAGCCUGCUCUUGCCCCAAGACUAUGUGGAGUCAAGCUAAGUAUUCCCACUCCAUCAACUGAUCCUUACAUGCCUUGGGCCAUGGUCUCACUGCCUCUGCACAUGCUCCAGCUUAUCCUGUUACCUCUGCCUGGUGAAAUGGCUUUUUCUUUAAUAAAGCAUCCUCUGAACCCUCCCUUUCCUCAGCUGAAAGCCCUCUCCUCAGAUCCUCCUGGCCCACUUCCUCUGUAUCUCAUCUUUGCCCGCAUCACAUUCUCCCUUUAUCAGAUGUAUUUGUAAAUACUUUGCAUUCUCAUCUUAGAGUGUAAGCUCCUUGAGGGUAGGAACUAUCUUUGUCAUCUUUUUAUCCCUACUCAGUGCCUGGCACACAGUAGGUGUUAAGCAUUUGUUGCCAUGACCGACCCUAUGUAUUUCUUUCUUUUUCAUGCUGGUAGUUUUAACUUUUCUCCCCCAGUAUUGAGACUAUAUAGAGUGUGUGUUCCUAGACAAGUUAUCAUACCUCUCUGAGAUGAUGUCUAGGCCUUAGUGUAAAGCUUGCAAAAUACUUGACAUGUUAUCUCAUUAGUGCUCUACAACCAUUGUCCCCAAUUAACAGAUGAGGAAACAGACUCAGAGAGGUUAAUUGUCUUACCAAAGGUCACACAGCUAAUAAGUGGCUGAGAUGAGCUCUCUCUAAAUCCAGCCCUUUCCAUGUGUACCAAGCUGCCUGUGCAUAAACCUCUAAGUGCCAUCGAAAUGGGGACUGUUGUUAUUAGUCUUCCAUUUCCAAGAUGGCGCUCUUCAGAGAGAGAAGUUGAGGAAUUCUAUCCACCCAUUCCACACCACUGUCAAACAGAACAGGCUUCUGAGUUAGGAUGGUUUUGUUUGUUUGUUUGGUGAGGCAAUCAGGGUGAAGUGAC